rnacentral:rRNA from 1 species
ACCCGCUGAACUUAAGCAUAUCAAUAAGCGGAGGAAAAGAAACCAACAGGGAUUGCCCUAGUAACGGCGAGUGAAGCGAGCAACAGCUCAAAUUUGAAAUCUGGCUCUUUUAGAGUCCGAGUUGUAAUUUGCAGAGGGCGCUUUGGCUUUGGCAGCGGUCCAAGUUCCUUGGAACAGGACGUCACAGAGGGUGAGAAUCCCGUACGUGGUCGCUGGCUAUUGCCGUGUAAAGCCCCUUCGACGAGUCGAGUUGUUUGGGAAUGCAGCUCUAAAUGGGAGGUACAUUUCUUCUAAAGCUAAAUAUUGGCCAGAGACCGAUAGCGCACAAGUAGAGUGAUCGAAAGAUGAAAAGCACUUUGGAAAGAGAGUCAAACAGCACGUGAAAUUGUUGAAAGGGAAGCGCUUGCAGCCAGACUUGCUUACAGUUGCUCAUCCGGGCUUUUGCCCGGUGCACUCUUCUGUAGGCAGGCCAGCAUCAGUUUGGGCGGUAGGAUAAAGGUCUCUGUCACGUACCUCUCUUCGGGGAGGCCUUAUAGGGGAGACGACAUACUACCAGCCUGGACUGAGGUCCGCGCAUCUGCUAGGAUGCUGGCGUAAUGGCUGU